UUAAUUGAAGAGUUUGAUCAUGGCUCAGAUUGAACGCUGGCGGCAGGCCUAACACAUGCAAGUCGAGCGGCAGCACAGAGGAACUUGUUCCUUGGGUGGCGAGCGGCGGACGGGUGAGUAAUGCCUGGGAAAUUGCCCGGUAGAGGGGGGAUAACCAUUGGAAACGAUGGCUAAUACCGCAUAACCUCGCAAGAGCAAAGCAGGGGACCUUCGGGCCUUGCGCUACCGGAUAUGCCCAGGUGGGAUUAGCUAGUUGGUGAGGUAAGGGCUCACCAAGGCGACGAUCCCUAGCUG
rnacentral:rRNA from 1 species